UGUUGAACAAGUAAAGAAUGUUCUUUUCAUGUCUAAUAAACAAGAACUUUCAACUAUAAUGGAAAGAUAUAGAGGAAAAGCACCCAAACCUUUGUGCAGCCAGUUUCCCACCAAACGAUCCAAGGCUGAGGCAAUAAAAAUAUAUGUUGCGAGGAACAAGCAUGUCAGUCAUGCACUUUAUCCAUGCUUGGAACAGCAAAGACAGCAGUUACAAGACCUAACAGAUGAUGCAGAUCAAAUAUUAAAUAGCUCUGGGAAUAAAAGUACUCGCAAAUGUACUAAAUGCAAAGCUCCAAUGAAAGGACAUCCUCGAGGUCAAUGCUUCACU